rnacentral:rRNA from 1 species
CCUACGGGCGGCAGCAGUGAGGAAUAUUGGUCAAUGGACGAGAGUCUGAACCAGCCAAGUAGCGUGAAGGAUGACUGCCCUAUGGGUUGUAAACUUCUUUUAUAAAGGAAUAAAACGAGGCACGUGUGCCUUUUUGCAUGGACUUUAUGAAUAAGGAUCGGCUAACGCCGUGGCCGCAGCCGCGGUAAUACGGAGGAUCCGCGCGUUAGCCGGAUUUAUUGGGUUUAAAGGGAGCGUAGAUGGGUUGUUAAGUCCGUUGGGAAAGUUUGCGGCUCAACCGUAAAAUUGCAAUUGAAACUGGCAGUCUUGAGUACAGUUGAGGUAGGCGGAAUUCGUGGUGUAGCGGUGAAAUGCUUAGAUAUCACGCAGAACCCCGAUUGCGAAGGCAGCUUACUAAACUGUGACUGACAUUGAUGCUCGAAAGUGUGGGUAUCAAACAGGAUUAGAUACCCCUGUAGUC